GCUGGGCGUGGUGGCACAUGCCUGUGAUCCCAGUGGCUCAGGAGGCUGAGGCAGGAGGAUCUUAAGUUCAAGGCCAGCCUCAGCAACUUUAGUGAGGUUCUUAGCAAUUUAGCGAGACCCUGUCUCAA
rnacentral:sRNA from 1 species